rnacentral:lncRNA from 1 species
CACACUUCUAGAGGCUGGGAAGCCCAAUGAUCAAGGUGCUAGCACCUGGCAGGAGGCUUCUUGCUGCACCAUAACACAGCAAAGGCAUCACGUGAAGAGAGAGCCAUGCCAGUUGGAGUCACUCUUAUGAAGCCACUAAUCCCAUAUAAAUCCCCAUCCUCUUGGCCCAUUCUAAUCCUAAUCACCUCUCAAGGUCCCACCUCCAAAUACCAUUAACAUGUGAAUUUGGGGAUUAAAUUUCCAGUACAUGAAUUUCUGGGGACAUAGUCACACCAGAACAGAGGGCAACAUGGUGGCCAAAGCCAUCGAAAGAGGAGUUUCUAAAGAGAGUGUCCGUCAUCAUAAAACCAAAGACUUUGAUCCUCACCAUGGAUAGGCCUUAUUUGUGACUAAGUGUGACUUUAGGUUAAAGAUGUAAGACCUGAGAAUUCUGUUAGUCUUUGAAUCCUGGACAUAAUGUUUGAUCUUAUAUAAAUCAUCACCCACUAAUACCAGUCUUGUGGCCCUUGAAAGUUAAAAAGCUAUUUAUCCUGUAUUUCAAUGUCUGUAGAUAUGCAUAAUCUUGGACACAUGUUCACAUCGAAGGCAUUUUAAAGCAUACACAUAGCCAUGGAGGGCAGAAGAAACCCUGUUCCUAACUUGAGGUAUGAAGGAAAGUAGCCAUUUUUUUUUUGCUUAGCCAAAAAAAAGACAUGAGCUGUUGUGUUAGGAAAUUUUUAGGAACCAGCCGCACUUUUUGGAAUUGUGCUACCUGACCAUUCAUUCAUUUCAUUGCCGAGAGGAUCCCCAUGUGCUGAACUCACUGAGCAGAUCCUCAGAGCACAUUUACAGUCUCUGAAAUUACAAAGAUGAGUGAGAAAAGUCUCUGUUGAUCAAGCCAUUGAUAGAUUUGGAUCAUGACAGGGAGGGUUGGAUUUGCUGGAUUUGGUAAAGUGAUGAGUACUUCAGAGAUGGGCGCUCUGCCAUUGAACUCUUGAGUCACUUCACCCUAAGUGUGUCUUUAAUAAAGGCCACCUGCUCCUAGGAACAUGGAUGCCCAUGUGUAGCAAACAGGUGCUGUACUUCUUGUCUUUUUUUCUGGUGUGAAUUUCUGGCAUCUUUGGCUACACGCCUCCCAGGAGUCCAGGGCUGACACUUGUCUAGAAUGUGCCUGGGGAACUGGGAUGCAGGAGCCUAGCUCCCUGCAGAAGGUCAUGUGUUCCUCUGUCCUGGGACUAUCCAGUACCUCUCCCCUGGGAGAGCAUGUUCCUGUGUGCACAAGGUCCACUGGGGCCAGCCAGUGAAGUCAAAUUUGUGUCCUACCAUCAGGAAUAAUUUUCCUCUCCCCUGGGGUCACAGUUAGAGAAAGGCAACCUCAUUGAAGAAUUUAGACUGUGAAAAGGGUUAAAUUUGGAAGGUGGGGGAAAGGUCUCCAAGUCCUUCUAGAACUUCUAUCCUGAGCUGCGUUUCCACUCACGGGCUACCCCUCUGAAUGUUCUAACCCUCUAUUUCCCAGGGAGCCGGGCUCACUCCAUGUGCCGGUCACCUUCUGGUCCUUCUUAGUAGGUACUGACUCCCCAGGUCCCCUGGCUGCAUCCCAUUGACUGUGGAUGCCACAGAUACCUCACCCCGCAGCACAACCGAAUGUCUCUAAGGCAGAAACAAACCUCCGUCCAGUGCUUAGGUCAUUGCCGGUGGUUUCAGUUGAGCGUGUUCUCUGCUCACUCUCAUCACCCAAUUGCUGGACGGUGACUUCACAUGGUCUUCAGCCCCAGUGACUGCAAAUCCACUUGGAUUUUCAUUUGCAGAGGUGACUGCUGGAUAUUCGGUUCCCCCAAACUCCCAAAGAGUUCACUCCACCAGCAUUUUGCAUUCUUUUUUUUUUUUCAGAAGAGCUACAUUUUGUCACCGGAUAUUUGUAACUGUGA